GCUCGCCUCGCUGUGCCCCCCGCGCUCCAACAAUGAGGCCCCGCCGGGCCGGGCCGCGCCUCGCCUCGCAGUCCGGCGGGGACGGCGGCGUGUGCCGCGGUGGCGGCGGGAGCCCUCCUCUCCCCCCCACACCCCCCCCGCGCUCCUCUCCCCGUCCUCCUCCUCUUCGCCCAGGAGUUUUUAAACUUUAAAGAGCAGGUUCCAUCGACCUGCCCGCCUUUGUCCUUCGGACACCGCGCUGGGCCACCGAAAAGCCGCGGGGCCGCGUCCCGCCGCCUCGCCUCCGCCCUCCCCCUCAGCGCCCCCCGGAGAGCAUCUGGAGAGAGGGAGAGAAGAGAGAGAGAGAGAGAAAGGGCGCGUUCAUGAGGACUACAAAGUUACAAAUAUGGCUCCCCAGUCUCUCUUGCCUGAUCACUGCAAAGAAAUGAAGACGCACUUCAAACUAAACCGUUCCCAACUCACUCGCGGUUCCCCCCCGCCUCUGCCUCUCCCUGCCCAGCACCCUGCACAAAUAUUUGCGAACUAAACACGCCGGGAGCGGAGCGCCAACUUAUUUUUAUUUAAUGCACGGCGAGCCCCCCCGAAGGCAUCGCGCACCGGCGGAGUCAGGAGCAGCCUCUAGUUUCCCUUCGGAACACAACGCGUGCGCCUUUCGGGCACCCCCAAAUCGGGGGGCACAGCCACACACACACACACACACACACAGGUAGGCACCUCAAGGGCAGAAGCAGCCCCAUCACCGCCGGUCCUCCCCCACCUCAACCGCCGAGGGUUUUGGGAUGCACCCUCCUCCUCCUCCUCCCUCCCCCCCCCAAAAAAAAUUGAUUAAAAAAUGCGGGAUGGAUUUUUAUUAUUAAUUAUUAUUAUUUGCAUUUGCUUACAUCUGAGGGCGUCCUGUUCCGCAGCUCUAAGUGGAUCCUUUUCUUCAUGUCCAUGUCCGUGGCUGGCGGGAGUCGGUGGCUGUCCCCGGCUGCGCUCGUGCGGUGACACGGAUGGAGACCCCCCCAAAGCCAGCGCGGUGAGGGACUUUGAGGGCUCAACCAGCUCCGCUCGGAAUCCCGAGCCCCAGCACCGCGGCGAACACUAACCUGAUAACUGCGGAGGCGGGCGCUCCCGGGGGCUCCGGCGCGAUCGACGCGCGGCACAGCCAACCGCCGCGCCGCAACGCGAGGCCGGAGCCAACGGGGCGGGCAAAGGGGCGGCGGAAGCCAAUGGGGGAGCGGCGAAGCCGGCCAGGGGGACAGCCCGGCUGGGAGCGGAGGAUCAUUCCGUGCUGGUGGCUGAUGGGGAAGGAGCGGCGGCGGCUCCGCGGUGGGGAUGGGGUGCGCUCUGCCUUCCGCCGCCACACUCACCACACACACCACCCCCUUCCCGCCCCGCCGCGCUCCCCCCGCCUGCCGGAUCCUUAGGGGAGGAGGCGCCGGGGCGGGGAGCGGCGGCAGAGCCGGAGCCGCCCGGGCAGGGGCGCGCAGCCAGGAGGGAGGGAAAGUGCGGGAUGGAGACGCUCUUACCGUAAGGAAUGCGCUUGACAACUGAGCACAAGCUCUGUUGAGAGUGUGUGAACCAGGAGACAGGUCAAGCUGGAUCCAGCUUAAGGUGUGGACAGAGGUGGCCCCUUGGCUGAGGCUUCACAAAGGAAGGUCUGGUGUGGAAUUUGUUUUCAUGGCACAGGUGAAGAUGUUUGGAAAAGAACUUUUCUCUUGGAAACAAAGUAUUGACUAAACCAACGUAGUAGCUAUUUUUUUAUAGGCUUCUGAGGGUACAGAGAUGCCUUUACCUUUGUUUUCUCAGAAGAAAGUGUUGUGUGUUCUCAUUGCUGCAUGCCUCCAAAGUGUUGGGGGAAACUUAAAGUUCCAAACCAAAAUGCAAUGUUCCAAGCUGUUGGUUUCCCCUCUGCUGUGCUCGCUGCUUGUGGCCCAAGGGUGGGAGAAGUCUGGAGAACUUUUUGGAGAGCUAAAACCGAGCAGAAGCACAGCAGUAAAUCGAUUGUGAGCAGCAUCUUUGCAGAGCCUGGCUUUUCUUAAGCAGCAACAACAAAAAUCCGCUCACUGGACUGACUCUUAGGAUGUGAAGAACAGUAAAUCAUCUGUAAAAGUGGAUAUGAUGAUGCCAUUUAAACCAGGGAUCUGAUUUUGCUCUCUUUGUCAUAGAGGAAGAAACUUAGCUUUAUGAUGCCAUGAAUAAAGCUGUCGACUGUCUCUUA